rnacentral:rRNA from 1 species
CCUACGGGUGGCUGCAGUGAGGAAUAUUGGUCAAUGGACGCAAGUCUGAACCAGCCAUGCCGCGUGCAGGAAGACGGCUCCAAGAGUUGUAAACUGCUUUUGUACGAGGGCAAAUUCCGAUACGUGAACCGGGCCGAAAGUACUGUACGAAUAAGGAUCGGCUAACUCCGUGCCAGCAGCCGCGGUAAUACGGAGGAUUCAAGCGUUAUCCGGAUUUAUUGGGUUUAAAGGGUGCGUAGACGGUUCGAUAAGUCAGUGGUGAAAGCCUGCGGCUCAACCCCAGCACUGCAUCUGAUACUGGCGGGCUAGAGUAUAGUUGCGGUAGGCGGAAUGCAUGGUGUAGCGGUGAAAUGCAUAGAGAUCAUACAGAACACCGAUUGCGAAGGCAGCUUACCAAACUGCGACUGACAUUGAGGCACGAAAGCGUGGGGAGCAAACAGGAUUAGAUACCCCUGUAGUC